UAGUGUCUUACAUGUAACGUGUUUUGUAGUCGAUGGUAGUAUGUGAGGGAAAUGAAUAUUUCGUUAACGUAACAGUUAUAAUAGGGUGUGUUUUGUUUUUGGUUCAUGCAAUGUAUUUUAUUUGGGUAGCGUGGUUUAGCAAUCGGUUUUAGUGGUUUAUAAAUAAUAAUGUAUACAGUUCGCAUGGUUAGAUUAAUAAUCGGGGGUCUAUAAGGUAAAAAAGGUUGUCAAUUAUUGUUAUAAUAUACAUGGUAAGUCCAAAAAAAUUUAAAAGUAAUAGGUCCAAACAACUUUUAUAGGUAGAUUUUUUCAAAGUCCUUCCCUUUUAAUAGUAUUGAUUUGUUCGGCUGGAUAUUUGAGUGGAGAAUCAUUAGCUACUUUGAUGUUUUGAGUAUAUCUUUGCUAUUUUGGAUAUUUAUUUCGGAUAUUUUUAGAUAUUUUCAAGUAUUUUAAACAAUUUAGAGUAUAUUUUAGAUAUUUUGGAUGUUAUAUAUUAAAUUAAUUAGUAUAUUCAAAUAUAUAAUUAUAGUUCAUUUUUUUUGGAUAUCCAAUAUUUUGGUUCAUGUCUGGUUCAUUUCCAGUUUUUC
rnacentral:lncRNA from 1 species